GAAUUUUUGGUUUACUUGGUUUUUUCCUGCCACUGGCCUGUCAAGUUCUUGAGGACCGAGUGGCUGCACCAGCUUGCAUUCCCAACAAAGCCACAUCUUUGAAGAGUGAACAGAGUUUAAGCCGAAGAGUCUGUACACAAACAUUUCUGCUUCUAGCUUUCAGGAUUGUAUGAAGCCCAUUUCUUUACAUGAGCCUACAAGGAUCCUGUGUUUUGAUUCAAAAAUAUGAACUCUUUAAAGCAUUCACCGCAUCAGUUCAAAAUGGAAAUAUGUGGCUCAACAGAAGCAAAAAAAUCACAGUUAUUUUCUUUUUUAAUCAAUAGAAGGCACAGUUAUAGUUACAAGAGUGGGUUUUGACUGCCAAGAAAGCCACUGUGAUCUCAAAAUGAGUUACAAGUAUAGAAUAAAAGAUAUACGAGUCCUGCA